GGCAGUGUAGCUUAGUGGUUAAGGAGCACGACUCAUAACCGAAAGGUUGCCAGUUCAAUUCCCCACUGCUG